GUGGAUCCCACCAGGUCUCCUGCUACCUCAGUCGAAUACGUUUUCGUGUACGGGACGAACUCCCCGCAGAACGCCCACGAAAAUCUCCGAUUUCGGCUCAGAUUUUAACCCCUUUUCCACGAAAUUUCGUCUAUAAAUACCUCCAACUCUGUGCUCCUUUUCCCCUCAAAAACCCUAACAAAUCAGCCGCCAGGCUGCCGGAUUUUGAGCUCGCCGCCACCGCCAUCUUGAAGUUUGAAGAUCACCGGUAGUCUCGUGAUUCCUCAUCGGAGCUUCGCCGGAGUUUGCGACCUCCAUCCGCCCGCCACGGUCGUUCAGGUAUGAGCCAGUUGACUCCGAGGAUACGUACGUGACCACCGCGAGGAGUUGAAGAUCGUCCACUACCGCGCCACCUCGGGAGAACGCCGUAACCAGAACCACCAUCAACGAGCUGCAGUUCAUAUUUUGGCCGAUUGUCCGAAGUGUAACGAGUGCGACUGCGGUGAUUGUUUGAACAACAACGAAGGCAAGUGUCACACACUGUUCUGUCCUAUUAUUUUUCUAUGCACUUUGUAGUUAUUUUCAGUAGCUAUCCAUGUGUAGGAUUGUUUUAAAUAUAUAUUGCUAUGCUAUGAACACCUAUUAGAACAGCCACAUGUUCAACAAUUGAUUCUUUUGUCGCCACCGUAUUGUUGUUUGCUUAGCAAUGCUAUCUUAGAUGCGUGGAUUGGGUUAUCAUGAUAAGUUUAGAUGAAUAAAAUUAUAUGUUUUGAUAUAAUGAAAACAACCUGAAUAAUGAAACACCUGGGCGGAUUGGUAAGA